GAUGAACGCUGGCGGCAGGCUUAACACAUGCAAGUCGAGCGCCCCGCAAGGGGAGCGGCAGACGGGUGAGUAACGCGUGGGAAUCUACCCAUCCCUACGGAACAACUCCGGGAAACUGGAGCUAAUACCGUAUACGCCCUAUGGGGGAAAGAUUUAUCGGGGAUGGAUGAGCCCGCGUUGGAUUAGCUAGUUGGUGGGGUAAAGGCCUACCAAGGCGACGAUCCAUAGCUGGUCUGAGAGGAUGAUCAGCCACAUUGGGACUGAGACACGGCCCAAACUCCUACGGGAGGCAGCAGUGGGGAAUAUUGGACAAUGGGCGCAAGCCUGAUCCAGCCAUGCCGCGUGAGUGAUGAAGGCCUUAGGGUUGUAAAGCUCUUUCACCGGAGAAGAUAAUGACGUUAUCCGGAGAAGAAGCCCCGGCUAACUUCGUGCCAGCCGCCGCAGUAACAC
rnacentral:rRNA from 1 species